ensembl:snRNA U6 U6 spliceosomal RNA
GUGCUCACUUCAGCAGCACAUAUACUAAAAUUGGAACGAUGAGAAGAUUAGCAGGGCCCCUGCACAGGGUGACACGCAAAGUUGUGAAGUGUUCAAAAAGAAA